rnacentral:sRNA from 1 species
GAUAUCUACUCUCUGUGUAGUUUUGUCGUCCCACCAAAAGUCUCUCUUGAGAAUACAAAGGGGUGUUGUUCAGAUGAAUGUUCUGAGCAUAUCAUUCACUUUCUCUGCCUCUUCUAUUUUGCUUUCCAUAUCUGCAACUGAUAUCUGUUUGAUUUUGAAUGAUUUUUCUAAUUUGAUUUUUGUGAAUAUGUGAUACAUAGUAAUAACUUCUCCUCACAAGGUGGUGGGCUCAAGGAUUCAGAAUUCUCACAAUUCAAACCUUUCAUACAUAUCUCUCACUUUCUCACAAAUCUCAAUAAGUUCCUUGCAAGUAAGAUUCUCCUCAGACAUUGUAAACUGAUUCAGUCACUUCUUCAGCUUCAAAGUCUUGGCCAUAAACUUUUCAACAUCAUCAAUCACUGUGAGCUAUAUUCUCUUCUCUUCCAUUUCAUCC